rnacentral:rRNA from 1 species
UACGUAGGGGGCAAGCGUUGUCCGGAGUUACUGGGCGUAAAGCGCACGCAGGCGGUCGUGUAAGUUUGGAGUGACAGGGCUCGGCUUAACUGAGCCAGCGCUUCGAAAACUGCGCGACUUGAGGGCUUCAGAGGGACACGGAAUUCCGGGUGUAGUGGUGAAAUGCGUAGAUAUCCGGAGGAACACCGAAGGCGUAGGCAGUGUCCUGGGGAGUACCUGACGCUCAGGUGCGAAAGCUAGGGGAGCGAACGGG